rnacentral:misc_RNA from 1 species
AAGGAAAAAAUUAUCAUCUUCAGUUUUGAGAGACUUAAGAAAGUUUUUCAUUAUAACUUGAUUGCAAAUUGUAUUUGUAACAUUUUAAUUUUUUUAAGAUUAAGGGCCUAUAGCUCAGUUGGUUAGAGCACACGCCUGAUAAGCGUGAGGUCGGUGGUUCAAGUCCAUUUAGGCCCACCAUAACCAAAAAUAGGCAAAAUCUUAAAAAAGCUCUUUGAAAAGUAGAUAAACGAAGGUUAAAAAAUC